AAAACAUAGAAAUUGCAAACAUGCUUGUCCACCAAUCUUUUCUUCUGACUUUUUUUUUUCUGUAAAAAUUGUACAUUAUGACUCUGAAAAACUAAAGGAAUUCAUUUCUUGAAACGCAAACUAUAGUAGUGUGAGUAUUUUCAUUUUUUUAACAUUAUACUAUUUUGAAAAAAAUAAAAUAAAAUAGGUAUGUGACGUACCGAGAGAGUCAGGAUGGAAGUGUUUAACAUUUCACUUACAAAUGCAAAAUGUAGCGGUGCGUUUUGAUCUGUAUCGUGAAUCCUCACUGCUGCAUGCUACACACACACACACACACACACACACACACACACACACACACACACACACACACACACACACACACACACACACACACA